UACGGGGGGAGCAAGCGUUGUUCGGAUUUACUGGGCGUAAAGGGCGCGUAGGCGGUCGUGAAAAGUCACUUGUGAAAUCUCCGGGCUUAACUCGGAAAGGUCAAGUGAUACUGUCGGACUAGAGUACAGAAGGGGCAACUGGAAUUCUCGGUGUAGCGGUGAAAUGCGUAGAUAUCGAGAGGAACACCUGCGGCGAAGGCGGGUUGCUGGGCUGAUACUGACGCUGAGGCGCGAAAGCGUGGGGAGCAAACAGG
rnacentral:rRNA from 1 species